GGAGGCAAUAGAGUCGGAGAGAGAAAGUAACGCAACCUUCUUCUCCGAUUAUGGGAACCCAUCAAUCGACAACGAGUGCCAAUACAAGUUCCAUCUUUGCCGACCACGAGUAUCGUUCGAGGUUCCAUCUUCUCCGACCAUGGCCAUCAAUCAAGAGAGCAAGCUGGGAUUUAACAGUUAUCCAAUUAACGGCGAAGAACCCAGGUGGAAGGUUCAAGGGCUGCAGUAGAUUCAAGGGUUGUGCAAAACCAGAAAAAUCUCCGAAACCAACAGCAAACCCCCAAAAAAAUAUCAAAACCCAAAAAAUCUCACCUGAAAUCUAAGUUUGCUCCUCACUCGAAGACGUUGAAGAAGUUGAAGAAGAUGCAAUCAAUCGAUGCCGAGGUCGGAGAUAGAGAACCUUGAACGAUGGUCUUCUCUAGAGAAGAUGGAUUCGCUAGUCUUCUCCCCAAAGAAUUUGUCCCUCUCCAUUGUGUUCAUGAGAUUUUUUUUCAAUCGUGUUUUUGAGUUUUUGUUGGAAAGAAAUGAUAAGUUUAUUUAGUUUU